rnacentral:rRNA from 1 species
CACGUAGGGCGCAAGCGUUGUCCGGAAUUAUUGGGCGUAAAGAGCUCGUAGGCGGUCUGUUACGUCUGCUGUGAAAACCCUGGGCUUAACCCUGGGCUUGCAGUGGAUACGGGCAGACUAGAGGCAGGUAGGGGAGAAUGGAAUUCCCGGUGUAGCGGUGAAAUGCGCAGAUAUCGGGAGGAACACCGGUGGCGAAGGCGGCAUCCUGGACCAAUUCUGACGCUGAGGAGCGAAAGCCAGGGGAGCAAACGGG